UUUUGAGAGUGAAUAGAGAGAGAAAGUGGGAACAAGAGGAGAAAAUGGUAGAGAGAAGAGGACUUGAAGAAUCAAGGGUUGGGAGAAGAGCUAGGAGCAAAAUUGAAGACUAAGUUUGGGAGAUUAAUCUACUAAGGUAAGGGGGUUAGAAUUCAUCAUAAUCACUUUUGUAAUUUUCAAUUAUUUGUAUGAUAAGUGCUUAAUUGAAUGAAUUGAUUAAUUGUUCAUAAGUGAUGAAAUUCGUGCUCUAAUUAUGAUGACGUGUUUAGAUGUAUGAAGUUAUGAAUAAUUUAAUUGUGUUAGUUGAAUUACAUGCUCAAAGUGUAUGAAAAUGGGUAUGUGUGAAAAUAUGCUCAAUUGGUGAAUUAUGCAUUGUUGUUGAUGAAUUGUGAUAUGUUUCAUGAUCAAUUGUUGUUGUUGUUGUUUAGUCAUGUUGUUGAUGAUAAUUCAUGGAUUGGGUUUGCAUAAUUCUUGGUUUGUUGUUGAGGAUUGAGAUGUUGUUGAUGUUUUGAUGAAAAUGGUGAAUUGGUCCAAUUGUCAAGUGUUUUCAAGUUUGAUUGAGUCUUUGUGAGUCUUUUUAGUCAUAUUGACUUAUAAACAUGUUUUGGAAACACAAUUGGGCAAUGAGGGAUCAAAAUUGGGGAUUUGGGGUGAAAAGGAGUCCAAACCCGUAACAUUUUCUGCACACCUGUGAAGGUUCGCUUAAGCGACCUGGUAAGCGAACAUUCAUACUCUUUUCUGGGUUUGGGUUGCUUAAGCGACCGGUGAGCGAGCUGGUAAGCGAAGUUUUUUGGUAGCUAUUGGAACUCGUUCGCUUAAGCGAACAUGUGGUCGCUUAAGCGAACUGGUGAGCGACCAGUCAGCGACCAGAAAGCGGACAACGUGGGAAUUAGACAAAUCAAGAAAUGAAAUUUAUUUGGGUCCAAGAACUUUUUCCGAGACAACAAGAAGUGAGGCACCAGAAAGAGCUCCGAUGAAAAUCGUAGGAAGAAUUCCUUUUUUCUUAGAUGAUCUUCCUAUUAUUUCCAGAAAAGAACAUGAACUUCAAGUACAAUUUUCAGAAGAAAAUUUUCAAGAAAAUUUUAACAGGCUUAAAAAUUGGACGAAUGAAGAAAAAAAUAAUUGUUUUUAUAUGGUAAGCAGAAAAGAUUUUGGGCUUAAAGCGGUAAUCACUCCUGGAGAAAAAAUUUGAUGAAAUAAUUGUAUUCUGGAUUUCUUACGCAAUCAAGGUUUAGUAAUUUUUUAGAUUUUCCUUCUUCAUAAUGGGGUUUAAAUUCAUCCGAAAUCUUUGUCCAUUUUCCGUUAGCUCUAGUAUAUCCUCUACGAUUCAUUGUUUCAUUUUCAUAGUUUUCCCAAGAACUAUGUGGGUUCCAAUUAUCUUCUCUUUUUCUUUUUGAUUUUGAAUUACUUGUCUCUCCUCUCUCCAUAAAUAUUUCAUCAAAAUCAAAAUCAAAAUCAGAUCCUAAAUUAGAUCCUAUUUCAGAUUCCAAAUCUGAAGAAUUAUAAUUUAAUAUUACUUCUUCAUUUUCUUCUUUAGUUUCUAUUUUUUCUACUUUUUCUAGACUUAUUGGUUUAUUUUCUUCUUCAACUAUUUUUAAUUGUUCCAUUAAUUGUUUAAUUUCUUCGAUAUCAUUGGAUCUCCUAAUGGAUUCCAUGUAUUCAGUUUUGAUCCCCUCCAUGAAGAUAUUGGGUUUAUCAACAUAGAUGGUAUUAAUGGUUCUUGUUUAACUAUUUUAUCUAAUUGUUUUACUUCUCUUGUUUUAUUUAAUAAUUCUUCUAUAUCUUUUAUUGUUAUGCUUCUAUUAUUUUCUUCAUAAUCUAAAUGAUUUUCUAGUUGCUGAAGAACUUCUCUAAUUUUAAAAAUGUUUUCAUCUUCAUUAAUUCCUUUUAUAUUGUCUAAAGUUUCGUAUAUACUAUUUAUUUCACUACGUUCAAUUUUAAUUUUAUUAAAUGUGUGAUCUAGAAUUUUAUUAGUUUUUUCUAUUAAUAAAAAGAUAUUAUUAUUUACUUGAUUCAUGAUAUUGUUUAUUUCUUUAUCAUUAAUUCUAUUUCUUCGGAUAAAGUCAUUAUUUAAAAAGGGCCGUCGCUAAUUGAUUCUUUUUUAGUAGUGUAGUAUGUCGGGUCGUAUAGGUAUCUGUAACGCCCUCUUUAAUAAUUUAAUUAUUUUAUAGAGUUUAGAGUUCAAUUUGAUGAUUUAUGCGAUUUUAUAUGAUUAUGUGAUGAGUUGAUAUUUUAUUUAAAGACUUAUUUUUUGAUUUACUAGAAUAAGAUUUGAAAAUAAAAUAAAUAUUGAGAUGUGGGGCUGUAUUGGAAUAUAGAAGAGUUUAGUGGAAAUAGAGGAAAUAAGAUAAAGUGGAUCGAGGAGAGAUAUAAGGAGGAAACUAGGUUUAUAAAAGUUUUUACGUGAAACUGCUUUUUGGAGAAAAAGGGAGAAAACAAGAGAAGAGAACCAAGAAGGAGAGAGACCGCCGAUCAUCAAUACUAAGGUAAGGGUGGGAGUAAUCUUCAAUAAUUCUGAGUAUGUGAUUUUGAAGAUGAAUUUAACAUGGUUGUAGGUUGAGGUUUCAGAAUUUGAGAGAUUAGAAUUAAAAGAUGAAAUUGAAAGUUGAGAAUUAAGGAAAACUAGUUUAGGUUUCGAAUUGAGUUUCUAGUCUUAAAAAGAGUGGAUAAUACAGUAGGUUGAUGAAUAAUUGGUGUUAUAAUGAUAGGGUGAUUAUAGGGUAAUGAUUAGGGUCAUGUUUGGAGAGUAUUGGAUCAAAAACGGAGUCGAAAAGAUUUCCCCAAAGGCGAAAUCCCAGCUGAACUGCGAUUUUGCUGUCAGUGUGCAACACGCAUUUUUAUUGUCUCAGUUUGACAAAUUUAAGUUUCGAACUGGGUUUAGGUGCCUUCACGAAAGUUGUAGAUAUGAAUGUUAUUUGUCACUCGGCUUUGGAGGCACUCAAUUUGAGCACAUAGAACUCAAGAUAUGAUCAAAUUACUACACAGGGGGUCAGCAGGGAUCAGCACAGUCGUCCUCUUUUCCCGAGCAUAGGAAAAUCAACUUUUCUGGAAUUUUCUGUUCUGAAUUAGGUUUGGGAGUCUUCAUGAAAGUUGUAGAUAAUUUUGUUAGCUUUCCAAUGGCAUUGGUUUGACUUGAAAAUGAUUUUUGGUUUUUGAGAUAUGUUGAAAAUACUCCAAGGAGGUCUUAGAGAAAUCUUAGGAAAAUUCAGCAUAACCGUUUCUAAGUUAAUCCAAAACUUAGGGAAUAAUUCCAAACCUCAAAACUAGAAGUACUAGGAGUUUAAUUAUGUUGUUUAAGAGUAUUUAACCUAUGUUAUGAGUUGAUCCUUGGGGUAGGAAUGGAGGUUGAAUAUAAUAUUACUGAUGAUCUGUGAAGCUGUUAUAAUAUGAUUUAAUGUUGAUAGUAAUGUAUUAUAUUUGUAUAUGCAUUAUGUGAAUUAUAUAAGAUGUUUAAGUUGAUGUUGAUUAUCAUUUGAUGUUGUUAUAUCUUGAGAUGUUUACGUGUUUCUUAUGUUGUUGUUGUUGGUUAUGUGAAAUAUUUAUAUGCCUUAUGUGGAAAUGUAUGAUGUUUAAGUUGUUGAUCCUCUUCAUUAAUAUUGUUAUGUUGUGAAUUGCUUGUACUGUUUCUGUUGCUGUUGCAUAUUGAUCAAGUUGCAGGUGUUGGUCUAAGUUGUAAAGUUGUAAGUUGUCUUUCCAAAGUAUUGGAGUCUUAAGUUGUUAAUGUUGUCUAAGUUGUUGAAGUCGUAGUUGAAGCUGUUCUGGUGACUGUUUAUGUUCAGGUGUUUUGUGAAAGGUGGUGUACUCUUACGUUGUUGUUUAUAAGAGGUGGUGUACUAUUAUGUUGUUGUUAUAUAAGAGGUGGUGUACUUUUACGUUGUUGUUUUAUAAGAGGUGGUGCACUCUUACGUUAUCGUAUUAUAAGAGGUGGUAUACUCUCACGUAGUUGUAUUGUCAGGUUGACGUUGUCGUCGUUGAAUCGUUGAAGUUUUUGUUCAUGACAAACCAUGGAAUAUUAAUGAUUAUGUUGUGUUUAUAUUAUUAUAAGAUGAUGAAUAUGUUGUUGCUUAUGUUAUUAUUAGA
rnacentral:lncRNA from 1 species